GACAGAGGAUGCAAGCGUUAUCCGGAAUGAUUGGGCGUAAAGCGUCUGUAGGUGGCUUUUCAAGUCCGCCGUCAAAUCCCAGGGCUCAACCCUGGAAUGCCGGUGGAAACUGUCGGGCUCGAGUCCGGAAGAGGCGAGUGGAAUUCCUGGUGUAGCGGUGAAAUGCGCAGAUAUCAGGAGGAACACCAAUGGCGAAGGCAGCUCGCUGGGACGGUACUGACGCUGAGACGCGAAAGCGUGGGGAGCAAACAGG
rnacentral:rRNA from 1 species